GAUCAUGGCUCAGGAUGAACGCUAGCUACAGGCUUAACACAUGCAAGUCGAGGGGCAGCAUGGUCUUAGCUUGCUAAGGCCGAUGACGACCGGCGCACGGGUGAGUAACGCGUAUCCAACCUGCCUUACACUCUUGGACAGCCUUCUGAAAAGGGAGAUUAAUACAAGAUGUUAUCAUGAGUAAGCAUUUUCGCAUGAUUAAAGGUUUACCGGUGUAAGAUGGGGAUGCG
rnacentral:rRNA from 1 species